rnacentral:rRNA from 1 species
UACAGGGGGGGCAAGCGUUGUUCGGAAUUACUGGGCGUAAAGGGUUCGUAGGUGGCCAACUAAGUCAGAUGUGAAAUCCCUCAGCUUAACUGGGGAACUGCUUCUGAUACUGGUUGGCUUGAGUGCAGGAGAGGAAUGCGGAAUUCCAGGUGUAGCGGUGAAAUGCGUAGAUAUCUGGAGGAACACCGGUGGCGAAGGCGGCUCUCUGGAACGGUACUGACGCUGAGACGCGAAAGCGUGGGGAGCGAACAGG